AGGGGAAUAUUGGACAAUGGGCGAAAGCCUGAUCCAGCCAUGCCGCGUGUGUGAAGAAGGUCUUCGGAUUGUAAAGCACUUUAAGUUGGGAGGAAGGGCAUUAACCUAAUACGUUAGUGUUUUGACGUUACCGACAGAAUAAGCACCGGCUAACUCUGUGCCAGCAGCCGCGGUAAUACAGAGGGUGCAAGCGUUAAUCGGAAUUACUGGGCGUAAAGCGCGCGUAGGUGGUUUGUUAAGUUGGAUGUGAAAUCCCCGGGCUCAACCUGGGAACUGCAUUCAAAACUGACUGACUAGAGUAUGGUAGAGGGUGGUGGAAUUUCCUGUGUAGCGGUGAAAUGCGUAGAUAUAGGAAGGAACACCAGUGGCGAAGGCGACCACCUGGACUAAUACUGACACUGAGGUGCGAAAGCGUGGGGAGCAAACA
rnacentral:rRNA from 1 species